rnacentral:lncRNA from 1 species
AUUUUCUCAAUGACGGCAACAACAGCAAUGUACCGUGAAUGUACUCUAAAUAUCCGUCCUUUAGAGCUGUAAAAACGAGGCUGCAGUUUAACAUGUAUAAGACAGUGCUACUAUCUUUAUGGACUUUGCCGUGAUUUCAGUACUUUAACCUAUGCUCAACGGUUGUGCAAUUAUUUUAUUUAUUUAUUUUUUUACUUAACCUGGAAUUUCUCAUUUUGCCCAAUGGGAAAUAAAGUAUAAAAAGGCUGAGACUUGUUAGGGAAGCAGAAAACCACCUCAAAACCACCAGGAUGAAGACUAUCGCUGUCCUGCUUCUGGUCUUAAGCUGCUGCCUUUGUGAAGCUCAGAUUAAUGAACAGAAUGUCAAAGCUUCUCAGUGUUCCGAAUCGACCAGCUGCUGCUCGCUGCUUUCCAUGAGUCAGACCCUGGGAGCAGUGGGAGAGAAAGUGGCAAACAUGGCAGAUAAACUGGCACAUCUGGAGGUACAGCUGCAAAGCACACAAAAUGAAGUCCUGGAGCUGCGCAGCCUUACUGGAACUCUCAGAGAUUCUGGCUCUGGAGACACCGGACCUUUCACCAUUGCUACCCCUCUGCAAUACAAGAAGGUUUUCUCCAACACUGGCAACAGCUACAAUCCUUCAACAGCUCUCUGGUGUCCCUCAUGAAAAAUGGUGUGAGGUUGACGUCCGUCUGGGAUACAUCAGGGACCGACUCCAACGACAUGGGCAGCAAUGCUGUGGUCAUCCCUCUGGAGGUGGGGGACACUGUGUAUGUGGAGCUCCAGCUGAACAGGAUCGUCUAUGAUGACGCCAUGAACUACAACACCUUCAGCGGCUUUCUGCUCUUCACCGAGUAAUUCCAACUACGUGGGGGCAGGUUUGCCUGCCUCUUUAAGUCAUUACACUGAACUUGUGAUGUAAUGUGCUGUAUGGUUUUGUAUGUAGACAUGAUAUGUGUGAAUUAAAAAAUAUACUGAAUAAAUAGCAGGUCAAUGGAUAACA